UGCCUACGGGGGGCAGCAGUAGGGAAUCUUCCACAAUGGACGAAAGUCUGAUGGAGCAACGCCGCGUGAGUGAAGAAGGGUUUCGGCUCGUAAAGCUCUGUUGUUGGAGAAGAAAGUGCGUGAGAGUAACUGUUCACGCAGUGACGGUAUCCAACCAGAAAGUCACCGCUAACUACGGGCCAGCAGCCGCGGUAAUACGUAGGGGGCAAGCGUUAUCCGGAUUUAUUGGGCGUAAAGCGAGCGCAGGGGG
rnacentral:rRNA from 1 species